UGUGAGAGUUUGGACAUUGUGAUGUUCCAACAGGUCUACUUAAUACAUCACACUGCUCAGACCUACUCUCUGACAUCUCUCUCUCUUCUUUUCACUCUGGCUCUUUUUGAGCUCAGCUAAUGAAGUAUUUCACUGGGGGCGAAAUAAUUAACCAAGUCCCUGGAAUUUGUGUAGUCAGGAGUCUUACGUGAGUGUUUUCCCAUGAUCAUCUCUCCAUGGGCCGGCCUCAGGAAGCUCAGGUGCUAAAAAUACCACAUGUCUACCGCUCCGUUGGCAGUCGUCGCAGGAAACAAUGCGCCACACCACCUGAAACGACAAAACCUGAUCCAACACCAACAGCCAGGGCUGAACUGAGAGGGGCGGUGGGGCUACUCAGAGGGGUCUCGUGAAAACCUUUUGCUUUGACUGCUUGGACAUGGCUGACCAAGACCAGACGGAGAGCACACAUUACACCUGUUUUAAGGUCUCUGCACCGGCUGACUCCUUGGACCAAGAGAUUAUGCCCCCAGCAUCUGGAAUAGCCUGCCAAAGAACCUGAGGGGGGCCGAAACUGUGGACAAAUAUUUUUUUUAAGAUACUAAAACAUGUUUUUACUAAAAACAUACUUUUCCUUUGGCUGCUGUUUGUCAUUCUUUCGUUUUUUUUAUCUUGUGUUUGUUGUGUCGUAAAUAUUUCAGCUUUUAUUUUUGUGUUUUUUCCCCCUAUAAGGCACAUUGCAUUGCAUCCCAUGUCUUAAAUGUGCUGUAUAAAUAAAUCUGGAUUUGAUUUGAUUUGAAUGGCCCGAGUCAGGCACUAGAGUGUCAGUUAUUAUUCAACAUGACACCCAGAGGACGGCAGCACAAAUCACUGAAACUCCCUCCUCAUACGUCAAACUUUACGCUGCGAAUUUUGCCAACCCUAGAGGGAAAUACUUUUGCCAGUGGUCUAAGGCACUGCGUCUCAGUGCAAGAGGUGUCGCUACAGUCUCUGGUUUGAAUCUAGGCCGUAUCACAUCUGGCCGUGAUUGGGAGUCCCACAGGGCGGCGCAAAAUUGGCUCAGCGUCGUCCAGGCUUGGCCGGGG